AGUGAACGCUGGCGGUAGGCCUAACACAUGCAAGUCGAACGGCAGCACAGAGGAGCUUGCUCCUUGGGUGGCGAGUGGCGGACGGGUGAGGAAUACAUCGGAAUCUACUCUGUCGUGGGGGAUAACGUAGGGAAACUUACGCUAAUACCGCAUACGACCUACGGGUGAAAGCAGGGGACCUUCGGGCCUUGCGCGAUUGAAUGAGCCGAUGUGGGAUUAGCUAGUUGGCGGGGGAAAGGCCCACCAAGGCGACGAUUCGUAGCUGGUCGGGGGGGAUGAUCAGCCAAACGGGAACUGGGACACGGUCCAGACUCCUACGGGAGGCAGCAGUGGGGAAUAUUGCGCAAUGGGGGAAACCCUGACGCAGCAACGCCGCGUGAGUGAGGAAGGACUUCGGUCUGUAAAGCUCUGUUAAUGUGGAAAAAUGGCAGAUGGUCUAAUAGGCCGUUUGUUUGAUGGUAUACAUAGAGGAAGCACCGGCUAACUUCGUGCCAGCAGCCGCAGUAA
rnacentral:rRNA from 1 species